AUACGGAAGGUCCGGGCGUUAUCCGGAUUUAUUGGGUUUAAAGGGAGCGCAGGCGGAGAUGCAAGAGUGACGUCAAAUUUCGGGGCUCAACCCCGUCUCGCGUCGCGAACUGCGUCCCUUGGUUGCGGGAAGGGGAGGCGGAACUCGGGGUGUAGCGGGGAAAUGCAUAGAUAUCACGAAGAACUCCGAGCGCGACGGCAGCCUUCCGGCCCGUCAACGACGCUCAUGCUCGAAGGUGCGGGUAUCAAACAGGAUUAGAUACCCUGGUAGUCCGCACAGUAAACGAUGGACACCCGCGGUUUGGCCUGUAUGGCUGAGCCGCCAAGCGAAAGCGUUAAGUGUCCCACCUGGGGAGUACGCCGGCAACGGUGAAACUCAAAUGAAUUGACGGGG
rnacentral:rRNA from 1 species